rnacentral:rRNA from 1 species
AUCGAACGCUGGCGGCAGGCCUAACACAUGCAAGUCGAACGAGUGGCGGACGGGUGAGUAAUGUCUGGGAAACUGCCUGAUGGAGGGGGAUAACUACUGUAAACGGUGGCUAAUACCGCAUACCAUCGGAUGUGCCCAGAUGGGAUUAGCUAGGCGGUGGGGGAAAGGCGCACCGAGGCGACGAUCCCUAGCUGGUCUGAGAGGAUGACCAGCCACACUGGAACUGAGCCACGGGCCAGACUCCUACGGGAGGCAGGAGUGGGGAAUAUUGCACAAUGGGCGCAAUCCUGAUGCAGCCAUGCCGCGUGUAUGAAGAAGGCCUUCGGGUUGUAAAGUACUUUCAGCGGGGAGGCGUUACCCGCAGAAGAAGCACCGGCUAACUCCGUGCCAGCAGCCGCGGUAAUAC